rfam:Canis lupus familiaris chromosome 35, whole genome shotgun sequence.
CCAAAGGCUCUUUUCAGAGCCAUCUACACUCGCAGAGAAAGCAGCU